rnacentral:tRNA from 1 species
UCCGGAAUAGCUCAGUUGGUAGAGCGGUCGACUGUUAAUCGAUUGGUCGCUGGUUCGAGUCCAGCUUCCGGAG